UGGGGAAUAUUGGACAAUGGGCGAAAGCCUGAUACAGCCAUGCCGCGUGUGUGAAGAAGGUCUUCGGAUUGUAAAGCACUUUAAGUUGGGAGGAAGGGCAUUAACCUAAUACGUUAGUGUUUUGACGUUACCGACAGAAUAAGCACCGGCUAACUCUGUGCCAGCAGCCGCGGUAAUACAGAGGGUGCAAGCGUUAAUCGGAAUUACUGGGCGUAAAGCGCGCGUAGGUGGUUUGUUAAGUUGGAUGUGAAAUCCCCGGGCUCAACCUGGGAACUGCAUUCAAAACUGACUGACUAGAGUAUGGUAGAGGGUGGUGGAAUUUCCUGUGUAGCGGUGAAAUGCGUAGAUAUAGGAAGGAACACCAGUGGCGAAGGCGACCACCUGGACUAAUACUGACACUGAGGUGCGAAAGCGUGGGGAGCAAACA
rnacentral:rRNA from 1 species